rnacentral:lncRNA from 1 species
CACCAAUGGAGCACGUUGAGAAGCAAUUUCUCUCCCAGAAGCACCAAAGCCUUUUAAGUAGUUCAGGCUUCACUGUUCACAUCCAGUUGCCAAAAAGCAAAUGAAUUGCCUGAUUUGAAAGACAUUUGUUUUUCUUUUUCUUUUUUUUUCUUUCUUUCUUUUUUUUUUUUUUUUUUGGCAGUCAGGAUGAUCCCCUUGUUUUCCCCAUAAUCAGGCCCUGCAGAACUACAUGCCUGUACACUUGACAAUGUAAAAGAAACAAAGCAUGGUUUUCAGGUGACCCGUUUGCCUCAAUCUGCUUGCAGACUGUCCCAAGGGGGUCUAUGGAGCUGGCUGCUCUUCAGAAUGUCAGUGUGUGGAGGAGAACACCCUGGAAUGCAGUGCCAAAAAUGGCACUUGCACCUGCAAAUCUGGUUACCAAGGCAACAGAUGCCAGAAAGCCUGUUCUGCUGGCCUCUGGGGACUGGAGUGCCAGCUCUCCUGUGGACCCUGUGAGAAUGAAAGUCAGUGCAACAAAAGAACUGGAAACUUCAAUUGUCCUCCUGGUUACACAGGAAAAGCCUGUACCACACGUAAGUCAUUAACUUAGACAGAAUA